ensembl:ncRNA C24A3.10 ncRNA
AGUUGCGCUUGGGUCUUGGGUUUGCAGUUCAUCUCUCCUUUUGCUUUCAAAUUCAAAACGCUGUGCAGCGCGCCUCUCUCUCCAUGGCUCACCCACUUUCCCUUUUUGCCGCAAAUGGUGUGCUCCGUAGAGCAUUGGCCAGUACGAGACCAGCAUUUUCAAUUUCUUUUCUUUCUGUUCAUGUGAACCCUUCAUUUUGAACACAUCACCUUU